UACGUAGGGUGCGAGCGUUGUCCGGAAUUAUUGGGCGUAAAGGGCUCGUAGGCGGUUUGUCGCGUCGGGAGUGAAAACACCGGGCUUAACUCGGUGCUUGCUUUCGAUACGGGCAGACUAGAGGCAUGCAGGGGAGAACGGAAUUCCUGGUGUAGCGGUGAAAUGCGCAGAUAUCAGGAGGAACACCGGUGGCGAAGGCGGUUCUCUGGGCAUGUCCUGACGCUGAGGAGCGAAAGCUAGGGUAGCAAACGGG
rnacentral:rRNA from 1 species